rnacentral:lncRNA from 1 species
AUAGGUAAACGAAGCAAGCAGACUGGUGCGUAACAUCACAGAACCUAGUGUUUCUGUCUUCAGCUACUUCUGGCUGACUUAGCAGGAUGUCAUCUGCCCUGUGCAACAAGGAAAAUGAAAUUGCAUGCAUGAGACCCUGGUUCCAGUGAAGAAGAGGCGGCGGGGAACUGGAGGAAUUCAAUCUUUGGCUUAGAGAAAUCUAAUUCUCUCAAGGUCGCUUUCUAUUUUAACUCAAUGGA